GGAGGAGCAGCGCGCGCGCACGACACACAGUCCCAAUGAUCCCGUGCUUGCGCCCUGUGCAGAAAGAGAGAAGUCGUGGUGAAUCACUAGAAGCGGAGAAACAGGCGGUGGUAAGGGCACUGAACGACUGCCCUUUUGAGCCAGCACAUGAGUGAUAUUCCUAUCAAGAUGCUGAGGCCAGUGCUGCUGUGUCUGUGUGCGUUCACAUACGGACAGGUCACUGGAACGGCAGCUCGUCCAGACAAUGGCAAUUUUCUGGAUGACAAAUGGCUCGGCGGCAGAUGGGACAAAUUCCGAGACGAACCUGGUACCUGGAAUCCAGGAAAGCCAUUUGAUCAAG